GGGGGGGGUAAGCGUUGUUCGGAAUUACUGGGCGUAAAGGGCUCGUAGGCGGCCAACUAAGUCAGACGUGAAAUCCCUCAGCUUAACUGGGGAACUGCGUCUGAUACUGGAUGGCUUGGAUUCGGGAGAGGAAUGCGGAAUUCCAGGUGUAGCGGUGAAAUGCGUAGAUAUCUGGAGGAACACCGGUGGCGAAGGCGGCAUUCUGGACCGACAUUGACGCUGAGGAGCGAAAGCCAGGGGAGCAAACGGGAUUAGAUACCCCGGUAGUCCUGGCCCUAAACGAUGAAUGCUUGGUGUGGCGGGUAUCGAUCCCUGCCGUGCCGAAGCUAACGCAUUAAGCAUUCCGCCUGGGGAGUACGGUCGCAAGGCUG
rnacentral:rRNA from 1 species